ACAAAAACAUGUCUCUUUGAUUUUUCUUCAUAAAGAGUCUAACCUGCCCAGUGAUAAAUUAUUCAACGGCCGCAGUACCCUGACUGUGCAAAGGUAGCAUAAUCAUUUGCCUUAUAAUUGAAGGCUAGUAUGAAUGGUAUAACAAGAAUACAACUGUCUCUUGUAAAAUUAAUAAAAAUUAAGUUUUAAGUCAAGACGCUUAAAUCUAACUAAAAGACGAGAAGACCCUGUUGAGCUUAAAAAACUUAAAGACUUUACUAAUUUGUUUUUUUGGUUGGGGCGAUCUAGGAACAUAAAAAACUUCUUUAAAAUUAAAAACAAUUAAUAAUGAUCCAAUAAAAUUGAAUAACAAAAUAAGCUACCACAGGGAUAACAGCGUAAUUUUCUUUACAAGCUCUUAUUAAAAAGACUAAUUGCGACCUCGAUGUUGGACUAAAAUCUCCUAAAGGUGCAGCUGCCUUUAAAAGUUGGUCUGUUCGACCAUUAAAAUUUUACAUGAGCUGAG
rnacentral:rRNA from 1 species